rnacentral:rRNA from 1 species
UGCCUACGGGGGGCAGCAGUGGGGAAUAUUGCACAAUGGGCGAAAGCCUGAUGCAGCAACGCCGCGUGAAGGAAGAAGGCCUUCGGGUCGUAAACUUCUGUCCUUGGGGAAGAAGAACUGACGGUACCCAAGGAGGAAGCCCCGGCUAACUACGUGCCAGCAGCCGCGGUAAUACGUAUGGGGCAAGCGUUAUCCGGAUUUACUGGGUGUAAAGGGAGCGUAGGCGGCAGGGCAAGCCUGAUGUGAAAGCCCGGGGCUCAACCCCGGGACUGCAUUGGGAACUGCCCCGCUCGAGUGCCGGAGGG